UGAAAGAAGAAAAUUCCCCGUCGGAAUUACAUCAGCCGUGGUCCAAAUGACACACGGCACAUUGAUGGCAAUGAUAAACUGAAGUUCUUUGGAAUGUGGAUACAUUUGGGGAUUGAUGGAUUUUCCAGGAAGGUUCUAUGGCUAAAGGUGGGCACAUCCAACCGCAAGCAAAACUUUGUGGCCAGAUACUU